GUGAAGCCCCCCUCAAGAUGAGAUUUCCCAGUAUGUAAGACCCCUUGAAGACGACGAGGUAGAUAGGCUGGGGGUGGAAGUGCAGCAAUGCAUGGAGCUGACCAGUACUAAUCGGUCGAGGGCUUAUCCAAUA
rnacentral:rRNA from 1 species